rnacentral:misc_RNA from 1 species
AUCGUAACAAGGUCUCCGUAGGUGAACCUGCGGAGGGAUCAUUACAAGUGACCCCGGCUACGGCCGGGAUGUUCAUAACCCUUUGUUGUCCGACUCUGUUGCCUCCGGGGCGACCCUGCCUUCGGGCGGGGGCUCCGGGUGGACACUUCAAACUCUUGCGUAACUUUGCAGUCUGAGUAAACUUAAUUAAUAAAUUAAAACUUUUAACAACGGAUCUCUUGGUUCUGGCAUCGAUGAAGAACGCAGCGAAAUGCGAUAAGUAAUGUGAAUUGCAGAAUUCAGUGAAUCAUCGAAUCUUUGAACGCACAUUGCGCCCCCUGGUAUUCCGGGGGGCAUGCCUGUUCGAGCGUCAUUUCACCACUCAAGCCUCGCUUGGUAUUGGGCAACGCGGUCCGCCGCGUGCCUCAAAUCGUCCGGCUGGGUCUUCUGUCCCCUAAGCGUUGUGGAAACUAUUCGCUAAAGGGUGUUCGGGAGGCUACGCCGUAAAACAACCCCAUUUCUAAGGUUGACCUCGGAUCAGGUAGGGAUACCCGCUGAACUUAAGCAUAUCAAUAGGCCGGAGG